AAGUCGAACGAGAACGGCUUAUAGUUUACUAUAAGUGUCAGCUAAGUGGCGCACGGGUGAGUAAUGUAUAGUUAACCUGCCCUCUAGAAAGGAAUAACAGUUGGAAACGACUGCUAAUGCCCUAUAUGCCUUUAAGACAGAAGUCUGCAAGGGAAACGCUUUAGUGCUAGAGGAUGGGACUGUAUGGUAUCAGGUAGUUGGUGAGGUAAUGGCUCACCAAGCCAAUGACGCCUAACUGGUUUGAGAGGAUGAUC
rnacentral:rRNA from 1 species